rnacentral:rRNA from 1 species
GUUGACCUCGGAUCAAUAACAUUCC